CUCAUUAAAAAGUAAGGAAGGAAGAUGAAAUAGUACAGAUAAUUGAUCUCCGAGAGGGAGAACAAAAUUCAAAAUUCAGAUCGAAAUAUAAUAUGGAGUAAUUAAUUCACAUAAUAUUGAAGGAAAAGAAAAAGAAUAUAUGUGUAAAAUAGAUACAUACAUCAGGAUUCAGGUCUUGUGUUUUGCUCCAUCGAUCGAUUGGUUCGAUCGGAGAAUAUUUUAUUAUGCCUGCCGGCCGGCCGAUCAGGAACUCAAUAAAGCAUUCAUUCCUAUUGAAUUUACAGAAUACACCUUCUCUUCCUGUUACCAGCACACGAUUUAGAAUUCUCAUCAACCGAGCUGAAGAAGGAAUCUACUUCCUCUCUUGCCGUCACAUCAUAAAACUCCAAAUCGCUUAGUAAUUUCCUCUUACAUGAGAUUCCCCUUUUAGGUUUCUUAGGUGCCGGUGGACAGCUGAGAAUUUUAGGGAUCAAAUUUUGAGGAGAUCCAGGGGUUCGGAUUUCUACAGCUUGUUCCUUAUUACAUCUUUCUAGAUCAUGAUCUUUAGAGAUAUUUUCAUUUUGUGAGAUGAUAUUUGGUAACUGAAUUUCAGAAAGAGGUCGCCGGGAUUGUAGAUCUCUAGACAUGAUCCAAUUGGGAGAGAAUUGGGGAAAGUGAAAUGGAG
rnacentral:misc_RNA from 1 species